CUUUCUGAUGGGCGUCCUCAGCGUCUUUUUUACUCUCAUCACAGACUCCAUGAUGCACCAGAGCUCUCAGGACAGGAGGGAAUGACCACACUACUACUUCUUGGACAGACGUUUGGUGGUAACAGUUGGUCAAAGGCUCACAGCAUAAAAUCCUGAUAAAGCUCCAGCCAGAUGGCCUCCACCACAACCAGACAAUCCCCAAAAGCUAUAGAACAAAUCAGAGAGAACAAGAAGAAACAACAACAGAAGACUCUCCAAAUGUUGUUCCUGUGCUCCUUGACCCUCACAGGAGUAAAUAACUAUGUGCAUGUCCAGGCUUAGCCUUUGCUUCUUCUGCUACCCUCCUCAAGACUCACUCCACUUUUCAACACCCCCCAACUCUAUAUGGAUUACCACUUAGAGGAAUUGAUGAGGGGAAUCUCAUUAGCUGUGGCAGAUGGAUACCUGAGAUACGGCAUGCUGUUCAGCCGUGCUGCUAAUUGCCUCAUAGGCCAAAUGUGGUCCUGCAGCAAAGAAACCUACUGCAGCGCUGGGUCUAUUGCAGAGAAAACACUACACCGAUGAUUCAUUAAAGUUUUGGCAGAGACACGGAUUCCACGGACCUUUUGGUUACGGUUAGGUUAAGUUGGUGCACAUGCUGACAGUGUGCACUGCAGGAGGGUGUCUUAGCCUGUUAUACCACCUGUUUAAGCCCUAUUCAGUGGUGGCCUCAGCCUCCUGCUCGACCCAACCAUACCUGCCUGCAUGGGUGUUGUGAUACUUUAAAAUAAAUUGGACUAAAAUGAAUGAACAAUUUGUUUAAAUUCACCUGACUCAUAGAUUUGAUGUACUUCAGUAGUCUUUUAUCUCAAGCAUGUUAAGUCACAAGAUUUGAACAUUUUGCAGUAAAUGUUUUGCUGAUAAGGUAUAACUGGAAAUACCUGUAUACCAGACUAUAUAUAUAUGUUCAAUCUUUGUAAAACCAACUACAAGGAACUUUUAUUUUUUGUUGAUUUUGGCGGCCUCCUGCAAUUCUCUCCAUCUGUUGAAUGACCGACCAAGGUUGACUCCUUUUUUGCCCCAGUAUAAGCCAUAACCACAAAAUAUAACGUAAAAAAUUUAUUAUCUAUAGAAAAAUCUCCUCCUGCUUCCUUUCAACUGGCUAACGUACUAC